UAUAUAUUUUUUUUUUUUUUUUUUUUUUUUUAGACAGAGUCACACUCUGUCACCCAGGCUGGAGUGCAGUGGCACAGUCUCAGCUCACUGCAGUCUCUGCCUCCCAGGUUCAAGUGACUUUCAUGCCUCAGCCUCCUGAAGAGCUGGGACUAUAGCGUGCACCACCACUCCUGGCUAAUUUUUGUAUUUUUAGUAGAGAUGGGGUUUUGCCAUGUUGCCCAGGCUGGCCUGGAACUCCAGGCCUCAAGUGAUCUGCCCUCCUUGGCCUCCCAAAGUGCUGGAAUUACAGGCACGAGCCACCACACCCUGCCCUACAUAUACAUUUUAAUUAUAAUAUCUUUUGGAUUCUUUAAAAAAAUUUUUUUAAAUUUUUAAAAAUUCUUUAAAAAAAUUCUUUUAAAAAAUUUUGUUUGAAGAGUAAUAACAAAACAAAUCUCUAUUUGAGAAUCAAUAAAUCUUGAGAUCAUUUAUGGUUUUGCAAUUCAACCUGAAAAAUGAAGUCAAAGCUUUUAUCAAAACAAAGCAUGUUUAGUGCUCUCUGUCUCACUGUCUUUUAGAUGCCAGACCUUAGAUUUUAUGAUGACUCCUCAACCGUUUAGAUCUCGGUUAUCUCAGAGGGAUCAUCAGCUUUUUAAGAAAAUUUUGAGAGAAAAGCAAGUGAAGAAAAGAGUAGUCAGUGCCCAACAUCACGGAUCUCUCACUGAACACACCAUGCCUGGUAUUCUCUCACAGUGAUGUCACCAUUUCUACCUGCCAUGUAUCGGCGAAGGUUGGGACUCGACUGGUGUUUGAUCACUAUGGGAAAAUCAUCCAGAAAACCCCCUACCCCCACCCCAGAGGGAUGACAGUCAGUGUGAAGCAGUUAUUUUCUACGCUACCUGUGCACCAUAAAGAAUUUCAAAGGAAUAUUAAGAAGGACUCCUAGAAGUACCCCACCCCACCCCUGCUCCUUGGAGGACAACGUGAUCACUGUAUUCAGCUCUGUCAAGAAUGGUCCAGGUUCUUCUAGAUGAUCUGCACAAAUGGCUCCUCUCCUCCUUCCUGAUGUCUGCCAUUAGCACUGGAAUAAAGUUCCUGCUGAAAAUC
ensembl:lncRNA novel transcript